UACGUAGGUGGCGAGCGUUGUCCGGAUUUACUGGGCGUAAAGAGCGCGCAGGCGGUCGUCCAAGUCGCGUGUGAAAGCCCCCGGCUCAACUGGGGAGGGUCACGCGAUACUGACCGACUCGAAGGCAGGAGAAGGAAGCGGAAUUCCCGGUGUAGUGGUGAAAUGCGUAGAUAUCGGGAGGAACACCAGUGGCGAAGGCGGCUUCCUGGCCUGUUCUUGACGCUGAGGCGCGAAAGCUAGGGUAGCAAACGGG
rnacentral:rRNA from 1 species